rnacentral:sRNA from 1 species
GUUGUUUGGAAGGCCUCAGGAGCUGCUCAGCUGGAAGGUAAUGACUGAAGUCAUCUGCAUGUUGGGUUCCAGUCCUACAAGAUUUCAGCAAUAAGGGCACACUCUGGGGCUUUGUGCCAUUUGUGGAUGAACAGCAACCAACUGAAAUACCAAUUCCAAUUACCCUUCAUAUUGGAGACUACAAUAUGGAUGGCUAUCCAGACGCUCUGGUCAUACUAAAGAACACAUCUGGAAGCAACCAGCAGGCCUUUUUACUGGAGAACGUCCCUUGUAAUAAUGCAAGCUGUGAAGAGGCGCAUCGAAUGUUUAAAGUCUACUGGGAGCUGACAGACCUAAAUCAAAUUAAGGAUGCCAUGGUUGCCACCUUCUUUGACAUUUACGAAGAUGGAAUCUUGGACAUUAUAGUGCUAAGUAAAGGAUAUACAAAGAAUGAUUUUGCCAUCCAUACACUAAAAAAUAACUUUGAAGCAGAUGCUUAUUUUGUUAAAGUUAUUGUUCUUAGUGGUCUGUGUUCUAAUGACUGUCCUCGUAAGAUAACACCCUUUGGAGUGAAUCAACCUGGACCUUAUAUCAUGUAUACAACUGUAGAUGCGAAUGGGUAUCUGAAAAAUGGAUCAGCUGGCCAACUCAGCCAAUCUGCACAUUUAGCUCUCCAACUACCAUACAACGUGCUUGGUUUAGGUCGGAGCGCAAAUUUUCUUGACCAUCUCUAUGUUGGUAUUCCUCGUCCAUCUGGAGAAAAAUCUAUACGAAAACAAGAGUGGACUGCAAUCAUUCCAAAUUCCCAGCUAAUUGUCAUUCCAUACCCUCACAAUGUCCCUCGAAGUUGGAGUGCCAAACUGUAUCUUACACCAAGUAACAUUGUUCUGCUUACUGCUAUAGCUCUCAUCGGUGUCUGUGUUUUCAUCUUGGCAAUAAUUGGCAUUUUACAUUGGCAGGAAAAGAAAGCAGAUGAUAGAGAAAAACGACAAGAAGCCCACCGGUUUCAUUUUGAUGCUAUGUGACUUGCCUUUAAUAUUACAUAAUGGAAUGGCUGUUCACUUGAUUAGUUGAAACACAAAUUCUGGCUUAAAAAAAAUAGGGGAGAUUAAAUAUUAUUUAUAAAUGAUGUAUUCCAUGGUAAUUAUUGGAAAGUAUUCAAAUAAAUAUGGUUUGAAUAUGUCACAAGGUCUUUUUUUUAAAGCACUUUGUAUAUAAAAAUUUGGGUUCUCUAUUCCGUAGUGCUGUACAUUUUUGUUCCUUUGUGGAAUGUGUUGCAUGUACUCCAGUGUUUGUGUAUUUAUAACCUUAUUAGUGUCAUGAUGAUGGAAAAAGAUAUGUGUAAAUAAAAAUAAUUAAAUGAGCAGGAAUUUUUGUGUCCACUUGACUUGGUCUUGCUUCUUAUUCUGAUGAUGCAAAUUAUACUUUUGUGAAUAUAUCACGGA